rnacentral:rRNA from 1 species
GAUGAACGCUAGCUACAGGCUUAACACAUGCAAGUCGAGGGGAAACGACAUCGAAAGCUUGCUUUUGAUGGGCGUCGACCGGCGCACGGGUGAGUAACGCGUAUCCAACCUGCCCACCACUUGGGGAUAACCUUGCGAAAGUAAGACUAAUACCCAAUGAUAUCUCUAGAAGACAUCUGAAAGAGAUUAAAGAUUUAUCGGUGAUGGAUGGGGAUGCGUCUGAUUAGCUUGUUGGGGGGGUAACGGCCCAUCAAGGCAACGAUCAGUAGGGGUUCUGAGAGGAAGGUCCCCCACAUUGGAACUGAGACACGGUCCAAACUCCUACGGGAGGCAGCAGUGAGGAAUAUUGGUCAAUGGACGAGAGUCUGAACCAGCCAAGUAGCGUGCAGGAAGACGGCCCUAUGGGUUGUAAACUGCUUUUAUAAGGGAAUAAAGUGAGUCUCGUGAGACUUUUUGCAUGUACCUUAUGAAUAAGGACCGGCUAAUUCCGUG